AUGAUCUUCCGUCCAGGGGUCCAGGGCCAUAAACAAGACCGUCUAACUUCCUCAGUUAUCACACCUUCCACCUUACGAGACGUUUAUUCUAAAUAUCCUUCAGGACCUGCAUUGGCUACUCUUGGCAUGGUAAGAAAAUGCUUGCCAGGGAGGAUUUCAAACCUGCCCGCUCCAGAGGCUUCUAUCCGGGUAAGAGCCUGGGUGUUGCAGGAUCCAAAAGGUAGGCGAGGUUCUCCCUGGCAAGCCGUUCACUGCUGCUUUUUCGAGGGCAUGCUUUGUGAAGCAGCUUCAGCAAGCCCUCUAGACCCGGACGGAGUGAGAGAAGAAUCCAGUGUCCUGUAUUUUGGUUCUUCAGUGGUCUUUUAUUGGCCCUUUUCUUGCGCUCUCUGCUGAAGCUGUCCAUAUAUCCAGUGGUUUGCUGUUGGAGGAAGGGAUUGCAACCGAGGGAGUGUCUGGACUUGGCAAGGUCACUGGGCAUCAGCCCUGCGAGCUCCCGGUGUCAUCCCCAUGCAGGCUCUUGCUCCUUGGGAAAAGACUCGUAUAGCUUUGUCAGCCUGUGCGUCAGUCUUCACGUUUCGUAUGAAGGGCAGGCGGAGGGGCCUGGAGGUACAUGUGUACCUCUUGUCCUCAAAAAGACCUGGCAUUAAAAACCGAGACGUCACCUCAGAUGAGCUAGAAGAAAGAACCUUGGAAGUUGCAUGUAAAUCUCUUGCUCUUAAAAAUACAGAUACCGUGGUAAAAUACACCACAUGAAUUCUACCGUCCUAGGCGUUUUAAGUAUACAGUCCGGUGAGUACAUUCACGUUAAUAUGCAACUGUCACCACCAUCCACCACCAAAACUUCUUCGUCUUGCAAAACCGAAAUGCUAUCCCCAUUAACUCUCCAUCCUCCACCCCUCCGCCGAGCCCCUGACGCCCACCCUUCUACUGUCUGUCUCUAAGAACUUGACCACUCUAGGGAAUUUUACAGGACAUGUCUUUCUGUGGCGGGCUGAUUUCUCUUAGCACAGCGCCCUCAAGCUUCCCUCUGUGGUAACAGGUGUCAGUUUGCUUCCUUUUCAAGGCUGAGCCAUAUUCCCUUGGCUGGGUAUCCCACAGGUGUGAUGGAACUUUGGCUCCCACCAAAUUUCGGCAGUUGUGAAUAAUGCUGUUCUGAACAUGGGCGUACAAAUACCUUUUCAGGACCCUGCUUUCCGUUCUUUUGGUUUUAUACCUAGAAGUCCAGUUGCUGGAUCAUAUGGUCAUUUUAGGUUUAAUGUUUUGAGGAACUGCCACAUUUUUUUCUCUAGCGGCUGCACCGUUACACCUUCUUACCACCAGUGUAUAUGUAAAUGCCCUUGGAUGACAUCAAUAUUGCCUGAAUUCCCCAACGUCUGUCCACCUCGCUCCUUCAACACCCCCUUACCUGGUUUACCAGCUUCCCAACUGGCCCCCCACAGUCACUGACCCCUUUCUGAUUCGGGCUUCACACAACAGCCAGUGAUUGUAUUUCCAACAUGUGGGUCCACAUGCUGGCCUUCUGCAGUGGUUUCUGUGGCUGUUGGGAUAAGACCUAAAUCCGUACAUGACCCAAAUGGCCCUUUAGGCUCCUUUGCCUAAUCAGGUUCAGCUGACAUGGUCACUCUUCCAUUGCCGGGGACCUGUCAAUCCCCUGAAAGUGCCAUGCUCCCUUCCUUAACACAUGCUGUUCCAUGGCUGGAAUGCCAUCCCCCAGACUCCCAACCUUCUCUUCCCCUUAAAUCAUCCUUGGACUCCAGUCAUUCCUUAGGGAAGAGAUCCCUGACCCUGUUUUUACUAUCCUCCUCCCUCUUGUCAAGUAGGUUCUCUUGUUACAGCUUUUCAUGAAAAUGUGUUACUUAUCUGCCCCCCCCCAAGCACUUGCCUAUCUCUGUAUCUGUGUAUUCGCUCAGGUGAUGAUUGGCCCAAUACAUACUGCAGGUCCAGCGGAAAGCAUGUAAGCAGGCAAGCUUCCCACCCUGGGGGCUGGUCUCCCGGUACCCUUGCAGUUCACCACCCAGCAAUGCCUCACAGGACUCAGGACAUCUACCAGCAGGCGCACCUGACUCGGGUCUGCAGCUCCCACGCACACGUCAGCUCCACCAGGGAGGGUCUGGGUAAAUGAUGGAAACGUGGAGACGCUGCCACUUUUCUUAGGGGACCCGGCUGAAUGCGGAAGGCAUGACCAGCACACUGAGGCACUAAAGGGGCCCGAGCCCCAAUACCCCACUGGCCGGGCAUCUGCCUCCCUGAUGAGCCAGCCGGUCAGCGGUUUGAAGGGCAAGGCGGUGUUUGCCGCCCUUAGGCUGGUGUCCAGCGUGGGUUCCGGGGUAUUUGAGCUGGCUGUUUGUUGAGUGAAUAAAUGACUCCAAAAAGGGACGCGGUUGCAUCAGGGAUCGCAAGCAUCUUUAGGCAAACUUCAGUUACAGUUCUAAAACCCUUCAUUCGGGUGCUCUCGAGUGUGAUCUCAGUUUAGGGGGGGCGGAGGGAGCGACUAGGGCCCCGGAGACUGCUGAGGUCACUUGUCCCUGUCCCCAGGGACCCGGGAGCAAAAACUCCCUAGUGAGACUUUCGGGGGUUCCCCUCCCCGGCCCCUCCAGGACGCGGCAGAAGCUGGGGGCGGUGUGGGGGAAGGGCAGCGCGCCGCCGUUGUGGACACCUCCCCGGCCCGCCCCGGGAGUGCCGACGGGCGGGGCGCGCGCGCGCUCGGCCUCCGGCUCCGCU
ensembl:lncRNA